CGUGAUCACCACCACCAUCACCAUCACCACCACCACGAUGACCGUGAUCUCCACGAACUCCAGCUCCGCUGCGGGGAAGCACACACGUGAGGCCGGCGGCAGAACCACCCCCCAGAAGCCCCUGGCCUCUGCCUCUGCCGGCACAGCGUCUGCAGGACACCCGCCGUGCCACGCCCCAUGUCUGCUUGCUGUCAAGAAAUCAGGACGCCCCAGGACCAGGACACAGUCCACAG